ACGGCGAGUGAAGCGGCAACAGCUCAAAUUUGAAAUCUGGCUCCUUUGGUGCCCGAGUUGUAAUUUGCAGAGGGUGCUUUGGUGUUGGCUGUGGUCCAAGUUCCCUGGAACAGGACGUCACAGAGGGUGAGAACCCCGUACGUGGCCGCCAGUCUUCGCCGUGUAAAGCCCCUUCGACGAGUCGAGUUGUUUGGGAAUGCAGCUCUAAAUGGGAGGUAAAUUCCUUCUAAAGCUAAAUAUUGGCCAGAGACCGAUAGCGCACAAGUAGAGUGAUCGAAAGAUGAAAAGCACUUUGGAAAGAGAGUGAAAUAGCACGUGAAAUUGUUGAAAGGGAAGCGCUUGGAGCCAGACGUGCCCGUAGUUGCUCAGCCGGGGUUCUCCCCGGUGCACUCUUCUGCGGGCAGGCCAGCAUCAGUUUGGGCGGUUGGACAAAGGCCUGCUAAACGUACCUCCCCCCGGGGAGGACUUAUAGGGUAGGCGGCAUACGACCAGCCCGGACUGAGGACCGCGCAUCUGCUAGGAUGCUGGCGUAAUGGCUGUAAGCGGCCCGUCUUGAAACACGGACCAAGGAGUCUAACAUCUAUGCGAGUGUUUGGGUGUCAAGCCCGAGCGCGCAAUGAAAGUGAACGCAGGUGGGAGCCUCUCGGGGCGCACCAUCGACCGAUCCUGAUGUCUUCGGAAGGAUUUGAGUAAGAGCAUAGCUGUUGGGACCCGAAAGAUGGUGAACUAUGCCUGAAUAGGGUGAAGCCAGAGGAAACUCUGGUGGAGGCUCGCAGCGGUUCUGACGUGCAAAUCGAUCGUCAAAUUUGGGCAUAGGGGCGAAAGACUAAUCGAACUAUCUAGUAGCUGG
rnacentral:rRNA from 1 species